UCACUUUGUCGCUUUCAGGUAAAGUAAAUUAUAACCUCUGCUAAGUAGACUACAGGGUUUCUAAAUACUAUUUUAUAGCCAUUGCAAAAUAAAUUGAUAGUUCGAAAAUUUAGUUCCAAUUAGGUGUAGCUACUUACUGCUGACUUCUACAACAAUGUUCCGAUUGCCAUACGGAGAAAGGGUUGACCCAAUGGAGGAAAAACGCCAGGCGCGUGAAAACACUAUUAGUAGCGUAAUAACCUUCGCUAUAUUAUGUGCCGCUAUCAGAGUUGCUCCCAUUAUUUUGGAACACAGCGGACUUUAAUCGUAGAAAAAUCACACCACACAGCGAACAUGAAACACUCAUUAAGAGGUAGCCUGACUUUCAUUAAAAUUAGACAAAUAAAUGGUUAAGAACUAGAG